GGGGUUGUGGCUCGGUGGUAGAGCGCUUGCCUAGCAUGCAUGAGGCACUAGGUUCGAUCCUCAGCACCA
rnacentral:tRNA from 1 species